UACGAAGGGGACUAGCGUUGUUCGGAUUUACUGGGCGUAAAGCGCGCGUAGGCGGAUCGCUAAGUCAGGGGUGAAAUCCCAGGGCUCAACCCUGGAACUGCCUUUGAUACUGACGAUCUGGAGAUCGGGAGAGGUUGGUGGAAUUCCGAGUGUAGAGGUGAAAUUCGUAGAUAUUCGGAGGAACACCAGAAGCGAAGGCGGCCAACUGGCCCGAUACUGACGCUGAGGAGCGAAAGCGUGGGGAGCGAACAGG
rnacentral:rRNA from 1 species